rnacentral:rRNA from 1 species
AACAAACGCUGGCGGCGUGCCUAAUACAUGCAGGUCGAACGGGGAAAGCUUUCGGGUGAGUACUAGUGGCGCACGGGUGAGUAACGCGUGGAUAAUCUGCCUUAGAGUGGGGGAUAACUAGUCGAAAGAUUAGCUAAUACCGCAUAAGACCACAAGAACUGCGGUUCAAGAGGUCAAAGGUUUUUCGCUCUAAGAUGAGUCCGCGUAAGAUUAGCUAGUUGGUGAGGUAACGGCUCACCAAGGCAACGAUCUUUAACUGGUCUGAGAGGAUGAUCAGGCAAACUGGAACUGAGACACGGUCCAGACUCCUACGGGAGGCAGCAGUAGGGAAUACUGCACAAUGGAGGAAACGCUGAUGCAGCGACGCCGCGGGAGUGAUGAAGGCCUUCGGGUCGUAAAGCUCUGUCGCAGGGGAAUAACACAAUGAAUGUACCCUGUAAGAAAGGAUCGGCUAACUUCGUGCCAGCAGCCGCCGUAAGAC